ACAAGUUUUAACUUGCCUGCUCUUAGUUUGUAUUACAGAAGGUCUCUUGUACUUUGUUGAAGGUAUAUUUUUUUGAAAGUAAAAGUGCAUUUAAAGUGUGUUCAUAAAUGUUAAUCUAAGAAAUGCUGGCUGUUUACUUUUUGGUAAUUAUUGAAAAAGUGAGGUUUCUAAGAGUGAAGAAUUCUAAUACAUUUUAAAGAAAAAG